AACAAACCUCUGAACACGGAGAAACUGCGACACACAGCAGGUGUGCAGCUCCCAGAGUCUCAGGACUGAUGAAUCUUUUACAGGACACUUUACAGACAGAAAAGAUGACCAACUGAAGAUAAAGAUGAAAUAGAAAACAAUUUCAUCAUGUUCCGGGAAAAAGAAAGAGGUACUGCAAGCAGGAGAGAACACAGUAGGACUAGACCACCUUCAU